GUGUCAGCAGCCGCGGUAAGACGAACCGUGCGAACGUUAUUCGGAAUCACUGGGCUUAAAGGGCGCGUAGGCGGGUCAUCAAGUCCGGGGUGAAAGCCCACGGCCCAACCGUGGAAGUGCCUUGGAUACUGAAGACCUCGAGGGGGAUAGGGGCGUGCGGAACUCAGGGUGGAGCGGUGAAAUGCGUAGAUAUCCUGAGGAACACCGGUGGCGAAAGCGGCGCGCUGGAUCCCUUCUGACGCUGAGGCGCGAAAGCCAGGGGAGCAAACGGGAUUAGAAACCCCCGUAGUCC
rnacentral:rRNA from 1 species